rnacentral:rRNA from 1 species
UACGUAGGCAGCAAGCGUUGUUCGGAGUUACUGGGCGUAAAGGGUGUGUAGGCGGUUGUUUAAGUUUGGUGUGAAAUCUCCCGGCUCAACCGGGAGGGUGCGCCGAAUACUGAAUGACUAGAGUGUGGGAGAGGUGAGUGGAAUUCCUGGUGUAGCGGUGAAAUGCGUAGAUAUCAGGAGGAACACCGGUGGUGUAGACGGCUCACUGGACCAUAACUGACACUGAAAAGCGAAAGCCAGGGAGCAAACGGG